ACUUGGGCGACAAGGACUGGGAUUUCGCCAUGGAGGAUUCCAGCGGCAGCUCGCCGUCGCUGGCCAUCCUACGGAAUAGGUACUGGAUUCUCCGCCACGGCCGCAGCGUCCCCAACGAGAGCGGCCUAAUAGUCUCAUCUCUGGUAUGCAUCCUCCAUCCCAGCAGGGCAGAGCCGUGUUCGUUCCUCAAAUUCCCCGCUCCAAAAGUUACCAGUUCCAGCCCAAAGUUUCAACUGUUGCCAUCUUGGGCUGCUGCCGCCAGGAGAACGGCACGAAGCCGGAGUUCGGGCUGGCCCCGCAGGGAUUCGAGCAGGCGCGCGCUGCCGGCGAGCUGCUCCAGAAGGAGCUUGAAGAGAUGGGUGUGCCGGUGGAUUCAGUCAAGAUCCGUUACUCGCCCUUCUCACGAACCACCGAGACGGCCAGAGUGGUUGCCGGUGUGCUCGGCAUCCCCUUUGAAGGUCCUAGCUGCGCAGUGAGUUUGGGUUAUCCUGCGGUGAUGGGACUCCGUGAGCGCUACUUUGGGCCAUCAUACGAAUUACAUUCACAUGAUAAGGAAAUUUCCCAGCAACUUCCCCUUUCUCGGAGACAUAGAAAUCCUGCUGUGUGGGUCUUCAUUACCUCAUCCUUUCAGUUUUACCAGCUGCUGCCACAGAACAAGGCUUGGCAGUGGAGGCUUGAGUUGUGUUGUUCAGGAGCUUGGUUGCGCAGCUGCAAAACUGACUUUGUAUUAGGCUGACAGAGCAAUGGCUCAGAGAGCAUAACUAUUGGCUCAUAUUUGGAGACCUCUUGUUCUACCUCAAUAGUACCCCUAUUGGAUCCACCGAUGGUUUUACUAUAAUUAACAGUAGUAUGCAGAGGUAUGGGCAGUAGAUGAAGCACAUCCCCAUAUGGCUCCAGAAGGUGGCGAGAGUGUCGCAGAUGUUGCUAAUAGACUAUCGGCUGUGCUGUCUUCUACAGAGACAGAUUUUCAUAGGAAACAGGUAGGAGGAACCCUUCAAAUCCUCAAAAAUAAGUGACGGGGAGCAACUAUGAUUUUACUUGUGCCAGCUCAGGCUCUGGCUUCUGGCAGGAAUCAAGAAGAUACAUGAAUGUGAAUAGUUACAGGGCUUAUGGAUUGUGAAGGGACAUCCUCCAAGCUAGCAUUUAUUGAGGAUUUAUUUCUUAUUUAGGAGAGACAUUCAUAUAAUCAUGUACUAGUCUAUGCAAGUAUGUAAAUACUAAAUAGAUAGAAAAAUCUUAUGGGACCACUGACAAGGUUUAGGUUUCUAGAGUUGCCUAUGCAAUUGAUGUCUAGAGUGGAAAGGUUGCUAACUGCAGUUAAUUUAGGAGAUUGAUGUAGGACAGUUGGCUAAAUGUCACUAUAUCAAACACUGGCCAGUGGCCACAUUGUUCCACCUUUCUUUUCUCCAAAUUAUCAACAUAUUCUCAACUCAUGCUUGGAUCUGGCAUACUGAAGCUGGCUUGUGUGUUCGUUC